CCCCUAAAUUUUAAGCAUAU
rnacentral:rRNA from 1 species